rnacentral:rRNA from 1 species
AUACGUAGGGGGCGAGCGUUGUCCGGAAUUACUGGGCGUAAAGGGUGCGUAGGUGGCCUUUUAAGUUGGAUGUGAAAUACCCGGGCUUAACCUGGGGGGUGCAUCUAAUACUGGGAGGCUAGAGUGCAGGAGAGGAAAGCGGAAUUCCUAGUGUAGCGGUGAAAUGCGUAGAUAUUAGGAGGAACACCAGUGGCGAAGGCGGCUUUCUGGACCGUAACUGACACUGAGGCACGAAAGCGGUGGGGAGC